rnacentral:piRNA from 1 species
UGGGAUCUUCCAGGACCAGAUCUGUGUCU